ACAGUGGCAGGUACAGAGGGAUGCUACCGGGCGACCGGAUGCGGAUCUCGAAAGCCUGUCCCAGUUCGGACUGGAGUCUGCAACCCGACUCCACGAAGUUGGAUUCGCUAGUAAUCGCGCAUCAGCCAUGGCGCGGUGAAUACGUUCCCGGGCCUUGUACACACCGCCCGUCAAGCCAUGGGAGCCGGGGGCGCCUGAAGUCCGGGACCGCGAGGACCGGCCUAGGGCGAAACUGGUAACUGGGGCUAAGUCGUAACAAGGUACC
rnacentral:rRNA from 1 species